UGUGAGUUAAAAACAAAUAGGCAAACUUAGCAUUUCGCUUCCUCCAUCAACAUCACACAUUCCAAAUGCCUGCAUCAAUUCUUUUUCCAGCAAAGUUUCUUCUUCUGUCCUUCGUUCAAUAGAAAAGGCUGUGCACCUAUAAAUGUUCCUCGGUUCCUCAAUUGUAGAGUCUGGAUUUCAAUCGUGCGGUUAUUGUUGGCUUCUUAUUUCGUUAGUCUGAUUUCUUUUGGUGGGAGAAGAUCGUGCGGCUGAAAUUCUUGCAUUGUUUUAUGGCGUUCGUCGUUUUCUGGGAGCAAGUUUUUCAGGUGUCGUCUUCUCUGAAGAACGUAGUUUCUAGAGCCAUAGCUUAGGUUUUCCAGGUGUCUUCUCUUUUUGAUUCAGGAAGGUCUGGAUCUUUCAAUAUAUGCCACAGGUUAUCUUUGAUUCAUACAUUUGUGCUAUACAUGCAUCUCCACUGUCUGGGUCCUUACAUGUCUUCCAUUACCCAUUUUGCUUGACAAAGCUUGUAAGGUAGUGUUGUGAGAACCGGACUGACCCAGCCGAUCGGACCAGAAAACUGGUGACCCGAUUACCAAACCGGCAUAGUUCUAUCAAUAUUACCGUUUGAGCAUGUGACUCGGUGAAAACUGACAAAAUCGGACGGUCAGACCAGAAACCCGAUGACCCAGCCGGUUUUACAUGAACUAGAGAUGUUAUUUUUUAGAUUUUUUUUUGAAAGACCCAUAGACCAUACACACGCUAAGCCAUGACCGAGGGGCAUGAAGGCCACCAUAGCGGAUGGAAGCUACCCAAAUCCCAACCCCCUGAUAAGAAUGGAACCUUGGACCUCAAGGUCCUGGGCAGACAACUUGACCAACCAGGCUACCUCUCAUUCUCUAUUCUUUAGAGUUAAAUGACUACAAAACAUUGAGUUCUUUCGUAAUUUCAUUACAUGUAUUUCAUUUUUUUACAUAUAAUAUGAUAAUAUCAAUAUAUGUAUAUUAAUUAUCA